CUGUUAGUAUAGUUGAAGGAUUUGGAAAAUUCCGCUAAAGAGGGUGAAAGCCCCGUAGACGAAAUGCUGACAACACCUAGGAGGAUCCUGAGUACGGCGGAACACGAGAAAUUCCGUCGGAAUCCGCGGGGACCAUCCCGCAAGGCUAAAUACUCCCUAGUGACCGAUAGUGAACCAGUACCGUGAGGGAAAGGUGAAAAGCACCCCGGAAGGGGAGUGAAAUAGAUCCUGAAACCGUGUGCCUACAACAAGUCAAAGCUCGUUAAUGAGUGAUGGCGUGCCUUUUGUAGAAUGAACCGGCGAGUUACGAUUGCAUGCGAGGUUAAGUCGAAGAGACGGAGCCGCAGCGAAAGCGAGUCUGAAUAGGGCGAAUGAGUAUGUAGUCGUAGACCCGAAACCAUGUGAUCUACCCAUGUCCAGGUUGAAGGUGCGGUAAAACGCACUGGAGGACCGAACCCACGUACGUUGAAAAGUGCGGGGAUGAGGUGUGGGUAGCGGAGAAAUUCCAAACGAACUUGGAGAUAGCUGGUUCUCUCCGAAAUAGCUUUAGGGCUAGCCUCGGAAUUGAGAAUGAUGGAGGUAGAGCACUGUUUGGACUAGGGGCCCAUCUCGGGUUACCGAAUUCAGAUAAACUCCGAAUGCCAUUCAUUUAUAUCCGGGAGUCAGACUGCGAGUGAUAAGAUCCGUAGUCGAAAGGGAAACAGCCCAGACCACCAGCUAAGGUCCCAAAAUAUAUGUUAAGUGGAAAAGGAUGUGGGGUUGCACAGACAACUAGGAUGUUGGCUUAGAAGCAGCCACCAUUUAAAGAGUGCGUAAUAGCUCACUAGUCGAGUGACCCUGCGCCGAAAAUGUACCGGGGCUAAACAUAUUACCGAAGCUGUGGACUACACCAUUAGGUGUAGUGGUAGGAGAGCGUUCUAAGGGCGUUGAAGGUCGAUCGUGAGGACGGCUGGAGCGCUUAGAAGUGAGAAUGCCGGUAUGAGUAGCGAAAGACAGGUGAGAAUCCUGUCCACCGUAUGACUAAGGUUUCCUGGGGAAGGCUCGUCCGCCCAGGGUUAGUCGGGACCUAAGCCGAGGCCGAUAGGCGUAGGCGAUGGACAACAGGUUGAUAUUCCUGUACCAGUUGUUUUUGUUUGAGCAAUGGAGGGACGCAGUAGGCUAAGGAAUGCAUGCGAUUGGAAGUGCAUGUCCAAGCAAUGAGUCUUGAGUAGAGUUAAAUGCUUUACUCUCUAAGGACAAGUUGUGACGGGGAGCGAAAUAAUAGUAGCGAAGUUCCUGAUGUCACACUGCCAAGAAAAGCUUCUAGUGAGAAAACAACUGCCCGUACCGUAAACCGACACAGGUAGUCGAGGAGAGUAUCCUAAGGUGAGCGAGCGAACUCUCGUUAAGGAACUCGGCAAAAUGACCCCGUAACUUCGGGAGAAGGGGUGCUGACUUCGGUCAGCCGCAGUGAAUAGGCCCAAGCGACUGUUUAUCAAAAACACAGGUCUCUGCAAAAUCGUAAGAUGAAGUAUAGGGGCUGACGCCUGCCCGGUGCUGGAAGGUUAAGAGGAUGGGUUAGCUUCGGCGAAGCUCAGAAUUGAAGCCCC
rnacentral:rRNA from 1 species